AAUUGAAUAGAAACACACUACAAAAUGGAAUUUCGGUGAAAAUCCGUAACGGUCCCGCCACUGUGAUUAGCUUUUAUUGCUAUAAGUCAGAGCUUUUUUGUAGUUGUGUUCGAGUUGCAUGUUGCUUCGAUGUCAA
rnacentral:sRNA from 2 species